GACGAACGCUGGCGGCGUGCUUAACACAUGCAAGUCGAGCGGUAAGGCUCCUUCGGGAGUACACGAGCGGCGAACGGGUGAGUAACACGUGAGUAAUCUGCCCUUCACUUCGGGAUAACCACCGGAAACGGUGGCUAAUACCGAAUACGACCAGUCUUCGCAUGAGGUGCUGGUGGAAAGUCUUUUCGGUGAAGGAUGUGCUCGCGGCCUAUCAGCUUGUUGGUGGGGUAAUGGCCCACCAAGGCUUCGACGGGUAGCCGGCCUGAGAGGGUGACCGGCCACACUGGGACUGAGACACGGCCCAGACUCCUACGGGAGGCAGCAGUGGGGAAUAUUGGACAAUGGGCGAAAGCCUGAUCCAGCAACGCCGCGUGAGGGAUGACGGCCUUCGGGUUGUAAACCUCUUUCAGUACCGACGAAGCGCCCUGUCGGGUGGUGACGGUAGGUACAGAAGAAGGACCGGCCAACUACGUG
rnacentral:rRNA from 1 species